CAAAAAGUGUGGCUGUACCCGAGGGAGGGGGGAAGCACCCCGUUGUCCCACGGUAAGGGAACAAAGCAACAAAAGAAGAAAAAGUGGAAGAAAAAGCAGGAUGGGCACAUUUCUGGAACAAGGCUGCAGUGACAUCAGUAAAUAACAAAAGACUGGAUCCUGUCAAAGAAAUCAAG